rnacentral:rRNA from 1 species
GACAGAGGGUGCAAACGUUGCUCGGAAUACUGGGCGUAAAGCGCGUGUAGGUGGUCACGCAAGUCAGGUGUGAAAGCCCAGGGCUCAACCCUGGAAGUGCACAUGAUACUACGUGGCUGGAGUACUGAAGAGGAGAGCGGAAUUCCCGGUGUAGAGGUGAAAUGCGCAGAUAUCGGGAAGAACACCCAUGGCGAAGGCAAGCUCUCUGGGACGGUACUGACGCUGAGACGCGAAAGCGUGGGGAGCGAACAGG